UACGGAGGGUGCGAGCGUUGUCCGGAAUCACUGGGCGUAAAGAGCGUGUAGGCGGUCCGGUAAGUCGGUUGUGAAAGUCAAGGGCUCAACCCUUGAAUGCCGACCGAUACUGCCGGGCUAGAGUCCGGAAGAGGUGAGUGGAAUUCCUGGUGUAGCGGUGAAAUGCGUAGAUAUCUGGAGGAACACCGGUGGCGAAGGCGGCAGCCUGGACCGACACUGACGCUGAGGAGCGAAAGCCAGGGGAGCAAACGGG
rnacentral:rRNA from 1 species